GGCCUACCAUGGUGGUAACGGGUAACGGGGUGUUAGGGCACGACACCGGAGAGGGAGCCUGAGAAACGGCUACCACAUCCAAGGAUGGCAGCAGGCGCGCAAAUUACCCAAUCCCGACACGGGGAGGUAGUGACAAUAAAUAACAAUACGGGGUUCUUUCGGAUCUCGUAAUUGGAAUGAGUACAAUUUAAAUCUCUUAACGAGGAACAAUUGGAGGGCAAGUCUGGUGCCAGCAGCCGCGGUAAUUCCAGCUCCAAUAGCGUAUAUUAAAGUUGUUGCAGUUAAAAAGCUCGUAGUUGAAUUUCGGGGUUAGCAGGUCGGUCGUGCCAUCGGUAUGAACUGGCCUCGCUGAUCCCUCCCUCUUGACGAACUGUGAUGCCAUUAAUUUGGUGUCGCAGGGAAUCAGGACUGUUACUUUGAAAAAAUUAGAGUGUUUAAAGCAGGCUCACGCUUGAAUACAUUAGCAUGGAAUAAUGAAAUAGGACGUUUGAUCCUAUUUUGUUGGUUUCUAGGAUUGACGUAAUGAUUAAUAGGGAUAGUUGGGGGCAUUAGUAUUCAAUUGUCAGAGGUGGAAUUCUUGGAUUUAUUGAAGACUAACUACUGCGAAAGCAUUUGCCAAGGAUGUUUUCAUUAAUCAAGAACGAAAGUUAGGGGAUCGAAGACGAUCAGAUACCGUCGUAGUCUUAACCAUAAACUAUGCCGACUAGGGAUCGGAUGAUGUUAAUUUUUUAAUGACUCAUUCGGCGCCUUACG
rnacentral:rRNA from 1 species